rnacentral:rRNA from 1 species
UACGUAGGGCGCAAGCGUUGUCCGGAAUUAUUGGGCGUAAAGAGCUUGUAGGCGGUCUGUCGCGUCUGCUGUGAAAAUCCGGGGCUCAACCCCGGACUUGCAGUGGGUACGGGCAGACUAGAGGUAGGUAGGGGAGAAUGGAAUUCCCGGUGUAGCGGUGAAAUGCGCAGAUAUCGGGAGGAACACCGGUGGCGAAGGCGGUUCUCUGGGCCUUACCUGACGCUGAGGAGCGAAAGCGUGGGGAGCGAACAGG